GAAACCGGAAAAGAACAAAAAAAAAAAAGAUAACAAUAGUAAGGGAAAAACAAAACAAUUCCAAUACUUCCUAUUUCAUGGUCAUACCCACACAAACUGGACAAAAACAAAAAGAAAGAAAAGAAAAGUGUUGCAAAUAGUUGAGGUCGGGUCUUCGUUUGAGUUUCCGAUGACGAUUUUUUUUUUUCAAUUUUAAUUCAUC
rnacentral:lncRNA from 1 species